rnacentral:rRNA from 1 species
UACGUAGGGGGCAAGCGUUGUCCGGAUUUAUUGGGCGUAAAGAGCGUGUAGGCGGCCAUGUAGGUCCGUUGUGAAAACUCGAGGCUCAACCUCGAGACGCCGAUGGAAACCAUGUGGCUAGAGUCCGGAAGAGGAGAGUGGAAUUCCUGGUGUAGCGGUGAAAUGCGCAGAUAUCAGGAGGAACACCAAUGGCGAAGGCAGCUCGCUGGGACGUGACUGACGCUGAGACGCGAAAGCGUGGGGAGCAAACAGG